UACGUAGGGCGCAAGCGUUGUCCGGAAUUAUUGGGCGUAAAGAGCUCGUAGGCGGUUUCGUAAGUCGGAUGUGAAAACUCCAGGCUCAACUUGGAGACGCCAUUCGAUACUGCGAUGACUUGAGUCCGGAAGAGGAGAGUGGAAUUCCUGGUGUAGCGGUGAAAUGCGCAGAUAUCAGGAAGAACACCCGUGGCUAAGGCGGCUCUCUAGUACGGUACUGACGCUGAGACGCGAAAGCGUGGGGAGCGAACAGG
rnacentral:rRNA from 1 species